AGUGAACGCUGGCGGUAGGCCUAACGCACGCAAGUCGAACGGCAGCACAGUAAGAGCUUGCUCUUACGGGUGGCGAGUGGCGGACGGGUGAGGAAUACAUCGGAAUCUACUUUUUCGUGGGGGAUAACGUAGGGAAACUUACGCUAAUACCGCAUACGACCUACGGGUGAAAGCAGGGGAUCUUCGGACCUUGCGCGAUUGAAUGAGCCGAUGUCGGAUUAGCUAGUUGGCGGGGUAAAGGCCCACCAAGGCGACGAUCCGUAGCUGGUCUGAGAGGAUGAUCAGCCACACUGGAACUGAGACACGGUCCAGACUCCUACGGGAGGCAGCAGUGGGGAAUAUUGGACAAUGGGCGCAAGCCUGAUCCAGCCAUACCGCGUGGGUGAAGAAGGCCUUCGGGUUGUAAAGCCCUUUUGUUGGGAAAGAAAAGCAGCAGGUUAAUACCCCGCUGUUCUGACGGUACCCAAAGAAUAAGCACCGGCUAACUUCGUG
rnacentral:rRNA from 1 species